GAAACAGUCACCGCUUGUUCCUUUCUUCCCCUCUGAACAAAAGUAUUAGAUUCCACGAAGAGAAAAAAGGAUUGCAAUCGCAGUGGAACGAGGCUCGAUGUGCGAUCGAGAGGCAAAAAACGUUCCGAGGAUCGAUGCUUUUCUACCGAUCACUCGAUUCCGCGUCGAACAUUUUUCUACGCGUUUCCUGUGAUUUAUCUAACUGCCUGUCGCUGGACACGAUUUCAGAAGACGGGGAUAGAAAUAAUGGACAGGCAAGAAAGAAUCGUUUUGGUCAUCUUUCCUUUCAGGAAGAUCGCGGUUUGCGCUUCUUGCUGUUGCCACAGAGAUUCGUUCCGCUCUGUUCCGCUUUGUUAACGGUUCCGUUGAUCGAAGGGAAGUUAUCUAGAGUAAAUUCAGCAAAAACCUAGCGGAUUCUAAGGUGCAUUGAAAACAAACCACCGCGAGACGCAAGAUAGCCUCGAUUUUCGGUGCUUUCGACUACGUAACAGCCGACGAUACACGCGACAAACACGACUGAAUCCUAUUUUUGCGGAUGCACUAGACAGUUGGACGUCUCCUCCGCUGAUGCUAUUUGCGUAUCAUCGAGGGACCAACUAUAACACCGGUGCACCGCUGUUUUCGUUCCCGGUUCUGUUGUUUUUCGACCGGUGACGUGCCUGUCCAUAGAUCGAAAGAAAGCCGAGAAACAGUUGAAGAUAAAUAAAAGACCAGCUAUUGGUGAUUACCAAAAAAACUAAGGCUAGAAUUUGUCCCAAUUUCAUGGGACACCUUGUAUGUUUGAACGAUUCCUUUGGAAGGCUUUUUCCAAGAGCGAAAGCCAGUACCUACACCUCGUGGAAAGAUGGUCAGCCGACAAUAAUAGUUGGUGUAACGUACGAUAAUACAUCGGCGAGGCCUUAGGAGAGUUGAUGGAAUCCAAGCAUGGCGGAACGAGCGUAGUUGUAGGGCCAGUGAACCGCGGAAUUUAUAGUCUAGGAUGGUCCGUCGAGCGGGGUUCGCGGUCGAACCACGAUGUCCGAGUUGCCUCGUAACGUUCACCGCCAUCUGAAAUAGACGACACUAAGCGACUCUAAAUGCAACGCUCGCGAGCUGCGUGUGUCAUCGUCUGGCCACGCUGUUACGCUUUCUCUCCUGCAACAACUGUUGCACACCCUAACGAACCUUGCCGGAAUAUAAUAAGAAGCCGGACCAUCCACCGCAGACGCUUGAUUCCUGGCCAAAUUUAUCUUUUCCUUCUUUCCAGACGUUCCAAUGCUUUCUCUUUGCUCUUUGUACUUUGCGCUCUGUUCUGCGGGCUUUAGCCUUCCCUCAGUUAUGCGAAGGGAUUUGAUAUCGUACAGUCUUUAAGAAAAUCUCAGGUGUCUGAAAAGAAAAUAACAACCACCAUCCGUAAUAGUACCGAUAUGCGAGUCAAAAGAUUUCGAAAUCUCAAUAUCUGAGGCAAUAUUUUAAAGCUUUUCACUGAAGGGGGAUCGUAAUUGUGCAUCAUUCGCCCCUUACAUACAAAUAACAAGUUCAAUUUUCGACUAUGCAGAUUAUUUUUGAUGAAAAAUAUGAGGAAAUUUUGAGAAAUUAAAGAUCUAAGUAAAAAAAUGAUGCAGACGAUUACAUUUAGUGGUAAAAAUUAUCCAUUGUAUGGUGGAGAACGGGGACAAAAGUAACAAUUUGACUUUAAAUUACGAUUACGCAAAAAUUAUUACACUUACAACAAAAAUGUUCGUACCAAAAUAUUACAUAGUUAUUUGACGUUAAUAAGUUACAGCAAUUUCGCUUUAUAACAAGUAAUAUUCAAAUUAUUAAUAAAAAAUGGAGACCGGGGAAAGUGUUACAAUCAUCCCUAACGGAUGAUCGGUUGUAACACUGCAUGAAACCGUAACUAAUACAAAUCUGUCUUUACAAAAUUAAAAUAUUUAUUAAUAUAAAUUAUAAUAAUAAAUGGAAAAA